AAAUGUCAUUUGCAUUUUAUUUUCCUUUAUUUAUGUGAAUGUAAAUUGAUGUUCAUGUAAGAGCACUUCCUGCUGUACCACACCAAGGAGGAUGGAGGUGGAUCUAAUUAAUUAACCAGCUUUUCUUUGCUGCAGUGCCAGAGGUCUGGGGCAGCUCAUUCGAGCGAAGAACAUAAAGACAGUGGGAGAUCUCAGUACUCUGACAGCAUCAGAAAUCAAAACUCUUCCCAUCCGUUCUCCUAAAGUUUCCAAUGUUAAAAAAGCUCUUCGAGGAUAUCACGAGCAACAGGUAAAAUCUCGAGGGUGUGAAGAAAUUGGAGCGCUCGAAGAUGUGGAGAGAACAGUAAACAGUGCAGGGGAUAAAUCUCCUCCUGUGGAUGAGGAAAAACUUGCAACAGAUCUGGGUGAGCCCAUUGCCCUGAGCAGCAGCAGCCCACCCCCUGCAGAUCUUCUGAGCCAGCUGGAUGUGCUGGCUGCUCAGUUCACCUCCGAAGAUCUCCGCAGCUACCCCGGCAGCCGCCUGUUUGAGAUGCAGGAGAAACUUGCCAGCAUGACAGACUGCAUCAUGAGAACCCUGCGGUCCCGAUGGAGGUCACCACCCCACGACAGUGCUGAGUAGUUGCUUAGAAUUCCUGAGUAAGGAGGAUUUUCUUACAAGUUUUUCCACAAAGCGUAGUUUUCUUACUGGUGAGUUAAUCCUUGAGCUGUAUGUUUUGUACGAUAGAAGAUUUUUUAACACCUAUAUGAUCAAAAUGUAUCAUGCUUUUCUUCUCCCGUUUGUUCUUUUGUAACUUGUAGGAUAGUUUAUUAGAGAGAUUUCUAUUACAUUGCUAUGCAUAUCUCCUUCAGGUAGUGAAAGAAAACUUGAUCAAGUUGUGCAAUAGCAAAGACUGUGAAACCAAACUAACAGAGUAGUUAAAUUAUUUUUUUCAAAUCCGAAAAGUGUUCUUACUGCUGUAAACUCAAUCUAUAUGGCGAGAGACGGCUCUCACAGCUCUGCUCGUGCUGCCCGUGUCUGCUUCCUUCAGAGCUGCUGGAACCCUUCAGCACUUCUGUACUGAGCUCUGCUCAGUUCCCUGCUGACAGCGGGACAGCGUGCUGUUAUCAGAUCACACUAAAGCUGGUGACAAAAGCAACGUUGGGAGUGAGAGACUUUGCAGAACUUGUUGGCCUUUUCCUGUGUUCUAACAGCUUUGUUUGCAGCAGCUCUCCUGUGAUGGAGAAGACCCUUUUCCCUUUGUGGAAAUAAAUGAAUUUGACGUGGGUUCUUUGUAUAUUAUGUAUAGGCUUGUGAUUGCAAAUGUUGGUUAAUUUAUGGUUUUUAAUUGCACGGAAUGCACUGCUGCUUCUCAGAGACCUUCAGAGUUCUCCGUUUUUACUCCUGAAAUCUAAUUUGUAUAUAUUGGACACUUAUGGAAAGGAAUUGCUCCAGGUGUUAGAACUUCUUCAACAUGUGCAAAUAAAAGAGCAAUUAGUUUCCAAAGUUGUUAAUGUUAAUCUUUAAGCUUAAACGAAACAAAUUGCUUCUAAAUUGUUCAUCCCUUCCUCAGAGUUGCUUUGGAAUGUCAAGGUUAGGAGGAAGCUUGGAAGGCCAUCAGUGCUGCCUGAGGCAGGGGUGAGUGGGGCAGCAAAGACUGAGGUGAAUCUGAGCAGCAGGAUCCCAUCUGCACCCUGUUCUGCAGCUCAGAAAGUAAUGAGCAAGACAGAGAUGUCUUAAAGGACUAAUGUGAUCAUUACCAGUGGUGAGUGGCUGGAGGUUUUCUUGUUUCUCUGAUAACACUGCUUCCAAAUAUACUUCCUCAGGUUUAAUCAUCUUUUGGCUCCAGGAACAGAAAUGUUUUCCUUGCAAGCUGGCUGUGUACACCACACUAUGCUGUGAAUUCUCUUUAAACAAAGGCCUUGGGGUUAAAGUUGCAAAUCUUCCUGCUAUGAGCUCACUUUGUAAGCUUUGUCCAAGAUAGAAUUGAGUGUUUUCCUGCUUUCAUCUUUGGAGGCUGGCUGGUACCAUGUGCUACCAAACAAAUAACCACCAUGUCUGGGUGUGAAAUAAUUGUCUAGUUUUUUCACCUUGCUGGGACUGCUGCAUCCUGGAUUGCUCUCUUUCUGAAUGAAGCAGGAUUGUUUUAAGAUAAAUUUGCAGUCUUCAGAGUGAAGUAAAACAUCAAAUGCUGCGGAAACAUGAGCUUUAUUUAGUCACUAAUUUACAAGUAACAACUUUUGACCCCAGAACAGAAAAACAUCUGCAUAAGAGCUCA